UUUAUAAAGGUUGGUCAGUGAGACAAUGAGAGAUAAGCUUCAUCGUCGAAAGGGAAAUAAUACGAAUUACCAACUAAGGUCCCUAAAUGAUCACUCACUCAGUAAUAAAGAAGGUAAGGUCUGGAGACAAACAUAAGGUUUGUCUAAAAGUAACCACUCUUGAAAGCAUGCAUAAUAGCUCAUUUGUCAAGCACUCUUACACCGAAGAAGAACAGGACUAAGUUAAGCGAUUUGCCGAAGCUAUGAAAUGUAAAAAUG
rfam:Glycine soja cultivar W05 scaffold198_34, whole genome shotgun sequence.